GACGUAGGGCGCGAGCGUUGUCCGGAUUUAUUGGGCGUAAAGAGCUCGUAGGCGGCUUGUCGCGUCGACUGUGAAAACUCGGGGCUUAACCCCGGGCCUGCAGUGGGUACGGGCAGACUAGAGUGCGGUAGGGGAGACUGGAAUUCCUGGUGUAGCGGUGAAAUGCGCAGAUAUCAGGAGGAACACCGGUGGCGAAGGCGGGUCUCUGGGCCGAUACUGACGCUGAGGAGCGAAAGCGUGGGGAGCGAACAGG
rnacentral:rRNA from 1 species